GAUCCUGGCUCAGGAUGAACGCUGGCGGCAUGCCUAAUACAUGCAAGUCGAACGAGAGGAAGGAAAGCUUGCUUUUCUGAAUCUAGUGGCGAACGGGUGAGUAACACGUAGGUAACCUGCCCAUGUGCCCGGGAUAACUUCUGGAAACGGAAUGCUAAAACCGGAAUAGGUAGCAGACAAGCAUUUGUACUGCUAUUAAAGUUAGGCUAUGGCCAUGAACAAUGGAUGGACCGUGCGGUGG
rnacentral:rRNA from 1 species